rnacentral:rRNA from 1 species
UAAAAUUAAAACUGUAGUAUUAUAAAAGCCAUAAUUAACUUUAUUAAAAACAUUUUAAGAAUAAGUAAAAGCGAUUAAAAAUUAUUAUAUAUUUUAGAAAAGUACUGUGAAGGAACAAAAUAAAAUUAUAAAAAAGAAAGAAUUAAAUACUGUACCUUUUGUAUCAUGGUUUAACUAGAUUUUACUUUUAUAUUAAAAUUCUCGAAACCUAGUGAGCUAUCUUCAAUCAGGUGUAUUAGAACAUAAGGACUAAUUGUAGCAAAAAUUUUCCUAGAACUGAAGAUAGAAAUGAAAUUUUAUUCGUACCGGGUGAUAGCUAGUUCUUCAAAAAGGCAUAGAAGGCUUCAAAUUAUGUUUUGAAAUAAUUUAAUUUAUAUUGAAUAAAUCAUAAUUUGGUUAGAUUUUUGAGGAUAAGCUCGAAAAUUUUUUAACAAGUGCAUUUUCAUUUAAAACUAAAUUUAGGCUUGAAAAUAGCCAUAAUUUUAAGAUUUUGUUAUAAUUUCAUUUAUAAUAAAAAAACACAAUAAAUUUGCUAUACAUAAACGAAGAAAAUUCUAAACCUAAAAUUGAAUUAAACUUAUGUUAAAAUGAGUAUUUUGACUAUUUUAAUUUUAAAGUUUUACAACUUAAAACUAACUCUAAUAUAGUAACUUAAAAUCAUAAAAAGGAACUCGGCAAAUAUAAUAUUCUGCCUGUUUAGCAAAAACAUGGCUCCUUGUAAAAAAUAAAUAGGGAGUCGGACCUGCCCGGUGAAAAUUUUUAACGGCCGCGGUACCCUGACCGUGCAAAGGUAGCAUAAUCAUUUGCCUUAUAAUUGAAGGCUAGUAUGAAAGGUUUGACAAGAAUAUAGCUGUCUCUUUACGAUUUGAUAGAAUUUUAUUUGUAGGUGAAGAAGCCUAUAUUAUAUUAAAAGACAAGAAGACCCUAUCGAGCUUUAAAAAAAUUAAUAGAUUUUUGCUUAAAUGACACUCAAAAAUCUGGUAUUAAAAAUUUUGGUUGGGGCGACUAAGGAACAAAAAAAGCUUCUUUUAGAAAAAAAACACUCAGGUAAUGAUCCAGAAUUAUUUUGAUUAAAGAAAUUAGUUACCGUAGGGAUAACAGCAUAAUCUUUUUUGAGAGCUCUUAUUGAAAAAAAGGUUUGUGACCUCGAUGUUGGACCAGAAUAUCCUAAAGAUGCAGCAGUCUUUAAGGGUUGGUCUGUUCGACCAUUAAAAUUCUACGUGAUCUGACUCAGUUUCGAGGUCAAUUUUUAUGUUGA